rnacentral:tRNA from 1 species
GGUAAAAUGGCUGAGAUAUUAGGCAGUAGAUUGUAAAUUUAUAGACGAGGAUGAUUAACCCUUUUUUACCA